rnacentral:rRNA from 1 species
GACGAACGCUGGCGGCGUGCCUAAUACAUGCAAGUUGAGCGCUGAAGGUUGGUACUUGUACCAACUGGAUGAGCAGCGAACGGGUGAGUAACGCGUGGGGAAUCUGCCUUUGAGCGGGGGACAACAUUUGGAAACGAAUGCUAAUACCACAUAAAAACUUUAAACACAAGUUUUAAGUUUGAAAGAUGCAAUUGCAUCACUCAAAGAUGAUCCCGCGUUGUAUUAGCUAGUUGGUGAGGUAAAGGCUCACCAAGGCGAUGAUACAUAGCCGACCUGAGAGGGUGAUCGGCCACAUUGGGACUGAGACACGGCCCAAACUCCUACGGGAGGCAGCAGUAGGGAAUCUUCGGCAAUGGACGAAAGUCUGACCGAGCAACGCCGCGUGAGUGAAGAAGGUUUUCGGAUCGUAAAACUCUGUUGGUAGAGAAGAACGUUGGUGAGAGUGGAAAGCUCAUCAAGUGACGGUAACUACCCAGAAAGGGACGGCUAACUACGUG